rnacentral:lncRNA from 1 species
CCACCAUAAACCAAAGGAUGAAGAAACGAGCCGGCCGUAUCCAUCUAUAGCUUGACUCAUCAGGAUUCAGAUUCCCUCAUGGGAUUAUAUAUUCUAACCUCCUUUGAGAGAUGUCGCCAAAUUUAGCCCUGAUACCUAUUAUCUUAGAACCAAUGUCAUGCUGAGAUUUUAAAUGGAGAAUGAAGUAAGCACACGAACAUACCCUCCUAGAAUUGAAGAUCUCGAUGAUGUCC